rnacentral:precursor_RNA from 14 species
AUUUCUACAGUAACCCCUUCUCAACGGGAGCAAGACAUUCCUGAGACAUGAUUCUAGAAGCUUCCUUGAAUCAGUCUCCGGAAUUUCUGGCCCCCAGCAGAAAGGGGCCAGAAAUUUCCUAC